AGAGUUUGAUCCUGGCUCAGAAUGAACGCUGGCGGCGUGCUUAACACAUGCAAGUCGCACGAGAACUCUUUAGCUUGCUAAAGAUAGUAAAGUGGCGCACGGGUGAGUAACGCGUAAGUUAUCUACCUCGGCAUCCGGAAUAACUCACCGAAAGGUGUGCUAAUACCGGAUACGUUGAGUAAUCAAGAAAGGUGGCCUCUGAAUAUGCUACUGUGCUGAGAUGAGCUUGCGUACCAUUAGCUAGUUGGUAGGGUAAUGGCCUACCAAGGCAACGAUGGUUAGCGGGUCUGAGAGGAUGAUCCGCCACACUGGAACUGAAACACGGACCAGACUCCUACGGGAGGCAGCAGUGGGGAAUUUUGCGCAAUGGACGAAAGUCUGACGCAGCAACGCCGCGUGGGUGAUGAAGGUCUUCGGACUGUAAAACCCUGUCGUCAGGGACGAAGGUUGGGGGGUUAAUAGCCCUUUAGCUUGACGGUACCUGGAGAGGAAGCCCCGGCUAACUCUGUGCCAGCAGCCGCGGUAAUACAGAGGGGGCAAGCGUUAUUCGGAAUUAUUGGGCGUAAAGGGCGCGUAGGCGGUUUGUUAAGUCAGAUGUGUAAUCCCCGAGCUCAACUUGGGAACUGCAUCCAAGACUGGAUCGCUAGAGUGCUGGAGAGGGUGGUGGAAUUCCUCGUGUAGCGGUGAAAUGCGUAGAGAUGAGGAGGAACACCAGUGGCGAAGGCGGCCACCUGGACAGUAACUGACGCUGAGGCGCGAAAGUGUGGGUAGCAAACAGGAUUAGAUACCCUGGUAGUCC
rnacentral:rRNA from 1 species